GUCGGAGUGUCCGAGUGGUUAAGGAGUCAGACUUGAAAUCUGAUACCCAUUGGGUGCGCAGGUUCGAACCCUGUCUCCGACG
rfam:Saitoella complicata NRRL Y-17804 DNA, contig: contig001, whole genome shotgun sequence.